CUGGACCUCAAGCCUCAGCCUGAUGUUGUAGGUCUUGAGGGAGUGCAUGAGUGUAUUUUGCUGCUGUGGCUAGAGGGUGGACUGUGGUAUUUUGCAUUUUCCAAAACUGACCUCAGCAAUAUUUGUGGUCCCACAUGCUCUUCUAAACUUUGUCACUUCCCAACAAGAGUUAGAGUUUAUUUCCCCUCCCCCUGAACCUGGGCUGUACUUUGCACUGUUGAAUAGAAUGUGGUGGGAGUGAAACUAUGGGACUUCCAAGGUGAGGUCAUAAAAGAUAGUACUGCUUCUGCCUAGCUCACUCAAGAACCCAGCCCCCAUAGUGUGAGGAGGCCUAGGACAGUUACAGAAGCCAUGUGUAGGUGUUCUGGCUCCAGCAAAAGUCUUAUCUGACAACAUCAACUACAUGUUAGUGGCCUUUCCUUGAAAUUGCUGGAGCUUGUGCAUCAUCAAAAUAAUGGCAUAAACCAAGGAAGAAGAAAACAAAAUUGAGGAAAUGGGAUCCAACACAAAAGAGAGACAACAGGAUUAAUUGAGUGUUGGUGAAAAGCCACAGCCUGUAAAUAAUGCAGUUCGAACUGAAAUAGACCAGGAGGCUCAAGGAGAGACUUCUUCAAGAAGAUAAAAUUGAUAGAAUGCCUAAGGAGUUUGAGUGCAUUGAGAAUAGAUUCAUAUCAGUUCUGGAGAACUGGGUGGAUACAUUAAUGUUAAGUACAUAGAAAAGUUAAAAAUGAAAAAAAUUCUCAAUUCUAGGGAAAAUAAUCAUAGUAAACUACAUGUUUUAGUUACCAAUAGUGUUUACGUAGUCAAUAUAAACAAUGGGCAUUGAUAUAAAUAAUGUAUGUUGAUCUGCUAUAACAAGGUAAAAUGCUAUUGGGG
rnacentral:lncRNA from 10 species